AUACGGAGGGAGCGAGCGUUAAUCGGAAUUACUGGGCGUAAAGCGCGCGUAGGCGGCUUUGUAAGUCGGAUGUGAAAGCCCAGGGCUCAACCCUGGAAUUGCAUUCGAUACUGCAGAACUAGAGUAUGGUAGAGGGAAGUGGAAUUUCCGGUGUAGCGGUGAAAUGCGUAGAUAUCGGAAGGAACACCAGUGGCGAAGGCGACUUCCUGGGCCAAUACUGACGCUGAGGUGCGAAAGCGUGGGGAGCAAACAGGAUUAGAAACCCCGGUAGUCC
rnacentral:rRNA from 1 species